UGGCCUGUUUUGGUUGCAUGCUGGAUCAAAUUUGAGACAUGUAAAUAGGUCUACAAAAUUGUAAGUACUGACAGUAAAAAUUGUAAGUGCUCGCCAUCCGACUGCAGACAAGUUUGUGCUACUUUUCUUGUUUAUACAUAUCCGGUAUUUUGUACCAAAACUGCGUAUGAUCUGAAAGUAACAGCCUUUGCUAUGUUUUACCCAUUUCACUGGGAAUGGGCCUAUAGCAACACUGCACACUUUUUGUUAGGAGCCAUAUCAGAUUGUACAUUGUCAAUAAUAUGUAAUGGUCAUUAUUUAUCAGUUUGUAAACCUGAAAGUGAAAACUGAAUUUUCUUCUCUCAGUGAGUGAGUUGAAUCCACUGAGAAGGAAAAAAACAGGAGCCAUUUUAAAUACUUCUAUAACUGUCUAUAAACUUUGGAAUAUAGAUGCAUAACAAAAAAAUAUAUAAUAUUUUGGCCAGUUCUGUAUUAAUCACUAAGAAGAAGUUAUCGAAGUUCCAGUAACCAAUGGACAAAGCAGAAGGGUUAAAAGAUCGAGAGUUUUGUCCAAAAAGAUCAAGAAAGCGAUCAAGAUCAGUCUCUUCGGAGUCCACCUUCCUGUCUAUGAAAAGCAACAAAUCUAUUGUUGAUCCGCCAAAUUUAAAAGAUGGCAGAAUGUCACCUGAAAGCAGACUAAACACCAUAAGAUCAGGAAUAAGAUCAAGAUCAGUCUCUACAGCACCCAGCUAUCUGACUAUGAAAAGCAAUAAGUCUAUUGUUGAUCCACCCAACUUAAAAGAUGACACAGUAUCACCUGGAGAGAGCUCAAACUCUUUUAUAACCAGCAUGCUGUCCAUCAGAAAUAACUGGUCUAGAGAU